rnacentral:rRNA from 1 species
UACGUAGGCAGCGAGCGUUGUUCGGAGUUACUGGGCGUAAAGGGUGUGUAGGCGGUUGUUUAAGUUUGGUGUGAAAUCUCCCGGCUCAACUGGGAGGGUGCGCCGAAUACUGAAUGACUUGGAGUGCGGGAGAGGAAAGUGGAAUUCCUGGUGUAGCGGUGAGAUGCGUAGAUAUCAGGAGGAACACCGGUGGUGUAGACGGCUUUCUGGACCGUAACUGACGCUGAGACACGAAAGCGUGGGUAGCAAACAGG